rnacentral:rRNA from 1 species
AGCGAACGCUGGCGGCAGGCCUAACACAUGCAAGUCGAACGAACUCUUCGGAGUUAGUGGCGGACGGGUGAGUAACACGUGGGAACGUGCCUUUAGGUUCGGAAUAACUCAGGGAAACUUGUGCUAAUACCGUAUGUGCCCUUCGGGGGAAAGAUUUAUCGCCUUUAGAGCGGCCCGCGUCUGAUUAGCUAGUUGGUGAGGUAAAGGCUCACCAAGGCGACGAUCAGUAGCUGGUCUGAGAGGAUGAUCAGCCACAUUGGGACUGAGACACGGCCCAAACUCCUACGGGAGGCAGCAGUGGGGAAUCUUGCGCAAUGGGCGAAAGCCUGACGCAGCCACGCCGCGUGAAUGAUGAAGGUCUUAGGAUUGUAAAAUUCUUUCACCGGGGACGAUAAUGACGGUACCCGGAGAAGAAGCCCCGGCUAACUUCGUGCCAGCCGCCGCAGUAA